AUAGAGAGUUAAAUAGUACGUGAAACUGCUUAGAGGUUAAGCCCGAUGAACCUGAAUAUCCAAUAUAGAAAAUUCAUCAUUAUGACUCUAAUAUUUUUAAAUAUUAUAAUAAUAGUGUGCAUUUUUUCUAUAGAGGACAUUGUAAUCUAUUGAUAUAAAAGAAAUUUAUUAUAAGAUCGAUUGCGCAAGUUU
rnacentral:rRNA from 1 species